AGCUAAAUGCGGAAGAGAUAAGUGCUGAAAGCAUCUAAGCACGAAACUUGCCCCGAGAUGAGUUCUCCCUGAGACUACAAGUCUCCUGAAGGAACGUUGAAGACGACGACGUUGAUAGGCCGGGUGUGUAAGCGCAGCGAUGCGUUGAGCUAACCGGUACUAAUGAACCGUGAGGCUUAACCUUACAACGCCGAAGGUGUUU
rnacentral:rRNA from 1 species